CCCUAUGGGGUGCCGGGGCUUUCUCCGCCGUGGAUUGGAGGCCGUGCAGUCGGAAUGGUCGCUGAUCUGCGCCUGUUUCAACCUCCGCAAGCUGUAUAUGGCGGCUUAUGGGAAAUGAUAAAGGGAAAAAAAGAAGAAUGAAGGCGCGUUGAGCCCUCAGCAAUGAACCCAACGAUGGCUCAGGGCCCCUAAUGUAGUUCUGAAUAGGAAAAACUCCGGCUGCCAAAGGUAUCCGUGAAAAUCGAUGCUGCCCGGUGGCUAUAACGCGUCAAACCCUUCUGCGACAGGCUCUUUUAUCCUCAAAUUACGAUGGCUAAAGUAGAGUUAGGCUAAAGUCGGGUUUGAGAAAUUGGAUCGGAAUCGAGCUUGACCAUACAGACAACGAUGGGUUUUGGUCAACAGAAUAGUCUCGCUAUUAUUUGUUAUCUCAGCCUAUUGCAUGAUUUUAUCAGGAAUUGGCGGGGGAGC
rnacentral:rRNA from 1 species